UGCUAAUGUAGACACACUUCAGGUAGAAAAAGAAUCCACAUCCAUCACUCCAGCAUUUACCAGAGUUUUACCUCAGUCAGUUGGAGAAGAAAAUGGGUUUGUCUGAGUUUGAGAUUAAGCUUGCCAGGGAGGUUAAGAAAUACCCCAAUCUUUACAGUUCAAGAGAUACAAUAAUUAAUUAUCAUGAUUGGAUUAUAGUAGCUCAUAUUCUCAGCAAAGGUAAAAGAGAAAUGGACUUCAGCUUUUGCAGGACAACUUGGAAAAAGUUGAGGAAAAACUAUGUCAGAGAGCAUAAUACAAAGAUCAAGAGCGGCAAUUCAAGUGUUGGACUAAAAGAUCCGGAGAUAUUACAGGAGUUGAACUGGCUCUCCCCCUUCAUAAAACACAAAGCCCAACCGACCAACAUUCCAGGAGGAGAGGGUCUGGUAGCAAGAGGGCGAGGAGAGACUGGAGGCAGUCGUGAUGCGUCGUUGGACAGAUACCAACAUUUCAUCACCUUGUCCACCCCUGCAGCAGACGGCACCUUUACCCCUCCUGUAACCACACACAUCAGACCCUUCAGACACAUGUCCACCCUAACACAGUCUGGGGACGGCCUCUCUUCAUCUCAACCAAGCUCCAGUUCUACCAGUGGACCAGUCCAACCAAGGAAGAGGACACAGGACAGAGUAGAUCAAGCCCCCAGAAAGAACCCUAAGAUUGCUGAUAAAACCAGAGAGCAUGGGGUCAGUAGUGUGGGAGGUAGUGAUGAAGGUGACGCCUUACAUGUUCUGUUAGCUGUCGCGAGAGGACAAGGAGAGACUGGAGGAAGUUGUCAGGAUUUGGCCAGGGUUGUUCCCGGU